GAAUUAUUAUCCACGUAAGAUCUGUGUACCGGGUAAAUUCAAAUCAAAACAAAGCAGGUUCAAGAUUAAAAGGCCUAAUUCAUAUAAUUACCUUUAAUCUUUACCACCAUCAGUAAAAACACCCCUAACCUCACUCCCGUCUCCAUCUAUCCUCUUCCCCUUCUAAAAUCGAUUGUUCCAUUAGCAAGAGUGUUGUCUCGAGUUAC
rnacentral:lncRNA from 1 species